ACCUGGGGGAGAGGAGAGGGUUCAGCCCCAGGUGGUGGCCCCCAGACAGUCCCACACCCAGGGCAGAACCCCCAGGGUCUGAGCUUUCCCUAAGCUGGAGCUUGCCCUUACCCAAGCAGGCCCCGAAAGCCUGCUCCAAAGGUCCUGCAGGCGGCACCCCUGGGGGACGGGGGAAAGGGGUCCUGAGCCCACUAGUGGCCCACAGUCUCAGUGGGUUCUAGCUCUGCACCUCUCUGGGCUCUCUGGGUCCUCUUUGGGCUCAAGUCUUGUCUGUAAAGGAGAGCUGACCCCUCCAAGCCUCCACACCGACCCUUUCCUUAGCAGACUCUGUGCAGGCUGGAGCCGAGGGUCCUGGUCCAGCCCCCAGGAGUGUGGGUGGGUAAGCCUAGGCCACAGUCCUUGUUUCCUCAGGCUUGGCUUCCAGAGAAUCAGCCUCCAGGAUGGAGUUCAGCCCUACACCCCUGCCUCCAGGUAAAGCAACUAGUGGGGGGGUGGCACAAAGCAGCUGGGGACACUGGGGGCUGAGAUGGGCAGAUGGGCAGAUGAGGGAGACAGAGCAUGAUCACAGCCCAUAUGGCCAGGCUGGAGUCAUCACCCCACUUACAGAUGAUGUCACCCCUCCUCUGGACCCAUCCUCUGCUCCAUCUGGACCCAGGAAGCAGGUGAGACAUUCUGUGAGACAGGCCGGAGUUCCAACUUUGCCUAAAAAAGGAAGUGGCUGAGCCAAGCUGGAGGAGCUGGGGCAGGAACAAGCGAGAAGUGUGUCCCCGCCGCCCCCACCCCCUCGAAGGGAGUCUUGGCAGUGGUGGUGCUGGCUCAGCUCCACAGGCCUCAGGACUCUGCUGGGACCAGAAACUGCCUGGCGCUUCCGCUUGGGCCUGUGCGGGUGGUGGGGGCAAUGGGCUCCCGCGCCUGAAGUCCAGGGUAUGCCUCCCGGAGGGGCCUGGCCUGGCCCCCAGCCCCGAAGCACAGGAGGCUGACCAGGACUGAGGCCGAAGGGGACAGUGAGCGGAGGCCAUGGUGAGGCCGCAGCAGCUGGAGGAGGCCUGGGGCUCCAGCCAAGAGCUGACCCCGGGGGGUGCUGGGGUUGAGGUGCCAGGUUAACAUGUACAAACGCUCCUUGGUUCAUUCUCCCUCUCACUGGGCACCCACCUGCCCGGGGCAGGGAGCUGGGCCAUGGGCUGCUCUGUGGCAGGGCAGUUCCCCGCCUUGUCCUCCAAGUCCUGCAUGGCAGGCGGGCCCCAGUCACGCUUCGGCCUGUGCUGCUGGGCUGACAGGGAAGUUUCCGUCCCUUCUGGAAAAACUGAGCGGGUCUUCUUGGCCAUGACUCAGGCCCUCGAGGAAGCAGCCGCCCUCCUCCCUCCAGCCUCUCCAUCAGAGGGAGAAAGACAGGAGGCCCCGUGUUAGGACUGCUCUGCCAGGGCCUCUGCCCAGCUUUGGCUGAGCUCGACCAGCAGCCCUGGCCAAGUUCCUCCUCAGCUCUGCCCACAGUCACUCCUGCUGCUCAUGCGGGGCUCACACCUGACCCCUGGGAGAUGCCCCCACAUCCCACCACCCGAUCGGCUCUACUCCCUUGGGCCCCGCUCUGCCCUGAG